GUUCUCACUCCGUUGUCCCGGCUGGAGGGCAGUAGUGUGAUCACAGAUCACCACAGCCUGGAACGCCUGGGCUCAAGUGACCCUCCCAUCUCAGCCUCCCAAGUUGCUGGGGCUAUGGGCUCGUGCCACUGUGUCGGCUAAUUUUUUUUAUUUUUAGUAGAGAGAGGGUCUCACUAUGUUGUCUGUGCUGGUCUCAAACUCCUGGGCUCAAGCAAUUCUCCUGCCUCGGCCUCCCAAAGUGCUGGGAUCCUGACAGCCGUGAACCACUGUGCUCGGCCUCUGCAUCUUUUAAGAAGAAAAUGGCUUGUCUCCCAAGACCUGAUUUCCUCCUUCCUCCAGCUGGAACUCAGAUGUGGAACAGAGGAAGUGGCUUCAACAGUGCAGAAAGCAAAGGUUCCUCGGGCAUCCUGAGUUCUGUGUGUGGGGCCGCGGCUGUUUCUGUUGAGCGCUUGGGUGCCUUAAUGGCCCGGCAUUGAUUAGAACUAUUGACCUCUUGGUUUCAAGUAACUGACAAGGUUUCCAAUGGAUCCAGAUAAUUAAGGCUUCUCAAAUGGCAACUAAUAAUUUGCAUUUGCAGUGCGGCCAGCCUUAGGCGCUCGGGGAACCCACACAGGUGAGAAAUGAAAGAAAAAGCUCUUCCUGGUGGUCAUCUGAUCUUUCCUAAUGGAGUCUUAGAAAAAUCAUUUCGCCCUCCCGCCCUAUCUUGCUGAAGUUAUUAAGUGACCUAGGGGAGCUAUUUUCAUUUAUUGGAAAGCACUUGGGACCAGCUCACAGCAUUAAGGAGUGUGGGGUGGUUCUCAAGUCUAUCUCCUGCUUCUCAUCCCUCUGUCACUCACAAGGACACCCCCAGAGGGUCUAUUCUAAGAGGUCUUUGUGCUUCCAGCCCCUCCCUCCUCGAAUCCCUCUUUCACAUUGUCACCAGUAAGAUCUUCCUAAGCCCAAGUUUGGACCAUUGUCCUUCUGCUUUCACACCUCCAUUGUAUCCAGAAUUAAAGUCCAAAUUCCUGUGUAAGAUGGGUCCUAAUUCUUUGCACCCCCCACUUCCUCCCUCCACACCCCUGCCUAGAUCGAAGUGGAUACAGUGGGUGUAGAUCCUUAAACAUGAAAUUCAGACUUACCCAUGUGAAUUUCUUAGCACUGGAAUAUCAGUGGGUGAGCCCUGAAUGGAGUCCUGACAUGUGCUUGAGUGGCUGGGGUCACCCUCUUGAGGUCUGGUGAUCUGCCGAUGAGAAGAGCAUGCCAGCAGCAGCUGCUGGGCCAAGGACAAUAAGAAA
rnacentral:lncRNA from 10 species